rnacentral:rRNA from 1 species
GUAGGGGGCGAGCGUUAUCCGGAUUUACUGGGCGUAAAGCGCAUGUAGGCGGUUGGGAAAGUUGGACGUGAAAGCUCCCGGCUUAACUGGGAGAGGUCGUUCGAUACUACCCGGCUGGAGGUUGGAAGAGGAGAGUGGAAUUCCCGGUGUAGUGGUGGAAUGCGUAGAUAUCGGGAGGAACACCAGUGGCGAAAGCGGCUCUCUGGACCAAUACUGACGCUGAGAUGCGAAAGCGUGGGGAGCAAACGGGAUUAGAUACCCCGGUAGUCCACGCUGUAAACGAUGGAGACUAGGUGUAGGCGGUCAUUUACCCCGUCUGUGCCGCAGCCAACGCGUUAAGUCUCCCGCCUGGGGACUACGGCCGCAAGGUUAAA